rnacentral:rRNA from 1 species
GCAUAUCAAUAAGCGGAGGAAAAGAAACCAACAGGGAUUACCUCAGUAACGGCGAGUGAAGCGGUAAAAGCUCAAAUUUGAAAUCUGGCUCUUUUAGAGUCCGAAUUGUAAUUUGUAGAAGAUGCUUCGGGUGUGGUUCCGGUCUAAGUUCCUUGGAACAGGACGUCAUAGAGGGUGAGAAUCCCGUAUGUGACUGGAUACCUAUGCUCAUGUGAAGCUCUUUCGACGAGUCGAGUUGUUUGGGAAUGCAGCUCAAAAUGGGAGGUAUAUUUCUUCUAAAGCUAAAUAUUGGCCAGAGACCGAUAGCGCACAAGUAGAGUGAUCGAAAGAUGAAAAGCACUUUGGAAAGAGAGUUAAACAGUACGUGAAAUUGUUGAAAGGGAAGCGCUUGCAAUCAGACUUGCACUUGGUGUUCAUCAGGGUCUCGUACCCUGUGUACUUCAUCAAGUUCAGGCCAGCAUCAGUUUGAGUGGUUAGAUAAAGGCUUAGAGAAUGUGGCCCUCUUCGGGGGGUGUUAUAGCUCUAGGUGCAAUGUAGCCUACUUGGACUGAGGACCGCGCUUCGGCUAGGAUGCUGGCGUAAUGGUUGUAAGCGACCCGUCUUGAAACACGGACCAAGGAGUGUACCUAAUAUGCGAGUGUUUGGGUGUUAAACCCAUACGCGUAAUGAAAGUGAACGCUGGUGAGAACCCUUAAGGGUGCAUCAUCGACCGAUCUUGAUGUCUUCGGAUGGAUUUGAGUAAGAGCAUAUUGGGUGCGACCCGAAAGAUGGUGAUCUAUACGUGAAUAGGGUGAAGCCAGAGGAAACUUCUGGUGGAGGCUCGCAGCGGUUCUGACGUGCAAAUCGAUCGUCAAAUUUGCGUAUAGGGGCGAAAGACUAAUCGAACCAUCUAGUAGCUGGUUCCUGCCGAAGUU